AGGACACCCUGCUCACCAAGCUCCAGGUAAAGUCUGCGCCCAUUGUGAGGACCGCAUAUGUCUUCAUUGCGAAUAACGUUGCCACUCACGGCGAAGUAUCCCACGAUAACGAUAAGGAUUACUUUUUAUUUGGAAAGACUUACCAUUGGGACACUGAAACAUAUUUCGUCAACAGGAAGAAACGUUCUGCCCGACGAGAAACCCAACAUGAUUCUGUAUAAUUUUGUUAGCUCGGGGCAGCGUUACGUACGCCAUAUAAUGGUUUAAUGCAUUUUUGUGGCUGCACAGUACAUAUGCUAUUUUUUCUACGAGUGUGUAAUAGUGGUAUACGUAGACAUGCGGGAUACGCGACAAUUUUAUUUAAUUGUUAUAUCUGUUAUCUCACUUUCAAAGGUCACAAACUUUGUAUUGUUUAUUGCUCAGUGGAGUAACGAAAUUUUGACAAAGUAUGAGUAGAUAUUGUUAAGCGUAUCAUACACGAAGAGGCAAGUUCGAGGUAUUCUGCAACAGCAGUACGUGAUGCUGAAUCUAAGGUUCUUGCAUCCUCAUCGCAUACCCAACAAUGUAUUCCACGCCGUCCAGAAAAUACCCAGAGAAGAUGCUUGAAACCAAAAUCCUCUAGCAAU